AUCUUGUGAACUGCAUACACAUUUAUGAAUGUAUUGUAUUGUUAUUAUACUCGAGUUCUUUACAUCUUCGUAAUGAGAAGAAUUUCCGUCCAGUUUACUAAUUGUUUCAAGGUUAUUUGAAGAUCACAAUUUACCAAAAUUUAGAAAACCUCAAUUUUGAAAAAAGAGCUCAAAAGUAUGAGACAUGAGAAAAUCGAAAUUUAAAAAAAAAAUCGCUCGAAAUGAAAAAGGUUCGUUUGGCAUAAAUGUAAUAUCUUUUCUCCAUUCAUUUCGACAAUUGAAAGAACGGUGGGAUUAAUUCACGACGACCAUAUUUAUGUAAUUUAACUUCAUCGAAACAUUUCGCAUCAACUUACGCAUCGUGCAGCCGAAAUAUUCGCCCCUUGAUCCAGCAACAAAUUAACAGCGUCCAAGUGACCAUUAGCAGCGGCUAAUAUAAGAGGUGUGGUCUUCUCCUGCACACACAAAUUCAAAACUUGAGUCACUAUUGUAACAUUAAAAGCAUUUAAUGUACAAAAAACAACGCUGAUUACAAAAUAACAAGGUAUUUUACUUAGACCAUUAAACAGCGGUAAUUUGUUAAUGGAAUUUCUUUUCGAAAGGAGUGCCAAAGUAGGUACAUAUUGUAAUAUUUUACAAAAAUAUUUUUCUUAUGGUAUAUAAACUUUUUUUACGUGAA